rnacentral:tRNA from 1 species
ACUUAGGUAGUUUAAUUUUAAAAAAUUUUGAUUUGUGGUGUCAAAGAUAUAUUAUAUAUUCUAAGUC